GACGAACGCUGGCGGCGUGCCUAAUACAUGCAAGUCGAACGAGUGGCGAACGGGUGAGUAAUGCGUGGUAACCUGCCUCCUUGCGGGGGAUAACUAUUGGAAACGAUAGCUAAUACCGCAUACUGUGAGAUGGACCUGCGUGGUAUUAGCUAGUUGGUGAGGUAAAGGCUCACCAAGGCGACGAUACAUAGCCGACCUGGGAGGCUGAUCGGGCACACGGGAACUGUGACACGUGCCAGACUCCUACGGGAGGCAGCAGUGGGGAAUAUGGCAGAAUGGGCGCAAGCGGGAUGCAGCCAUGCCGCGUGUAUGAAGAAGGCCUUCGGGUUGUAAAGUUCGUUCAGCGAGGAGGCGUUACUCGCAGAAGAAGCACCGGCUAACUCCGUGCCAGCAGCCGCGGUAAUUC
rnacentral:rRNA from 1 species